CUUCGGAGUCCGCAUUGUAAUUUGCAGAGGAUGCUUUGGGUGCGGCCCCCGUCUAAGUGCCCUGGAACGGGCCGUCAGAGAGGGUGAGAAUCCCGUCUUGGGCGGGGUGUCCGUGCCCGUGUAAAGCUCCUUCGACGAGUCGAGUUGUUUGGGAAUGCAGCUCUAAAUGGGUGGUAAAUUUCAUCUAAAGCUAAAUACUGGCCGGAGACCGAUAGCGCACAAGUAGAGUGAUCGAAAGAUGAAAAGCACUUUGAAAAGAGAGUUAAACAGCACGUGAAAUUGUUGAAAGGGAAGCGCUUGCGACCAGACUCGCCCGCGGGGUUCAGCCGGCAUUCGUGCCGGUGUACUUCCCCGUGGGCGGGCCAGCGUCGGUUUGGGCGGCCGGUCAAAGGCCCCUGGAAUGUAGUACCCUCCGGGGUACCUUAUAGCCAGGGGUGCAAUGCGGCCAGCCUGGACCGAGGAACGCGCUUCGGCACGGACGCUGGCAUAAUGGUCGUAAACGACCCGUCUUGAAACACGGACCAAGGAGUCUAACAUCUACGCGAGUGUUCGGGUGUCAAACCCGUGCGCGCAGUGAAAGCGAACGGAGGUGGGAGCCCCCUCGCGGGGCGCACCAUCGACCGAUCCUGAUGUCUUCGGAUGGAUUUGAGUAAGAGCGUAAAUGUGGGGACCCGAAAGAUGGUGAACUAUGCCUGAAUAGGGCGAAGCCAGAGGAAACUCUGGUGGAGGCUCGCAGCGGUUCUGACGUGCAAAUCGAUCGUCAAAUUUGGGUAUAGGGGCGAAAGACUAAUCGAACCAUCUAGUAGCUGGUUCCUGCCGAAGUUUCCCUCAGGAUAGCAGUAACGCAAAAUCAGUUUUAUGAGGUAAAGCGAAUGAUUAGAGGCAUUGGGGUUGAAACAACCUUAACCUAUUCUCAAACUUUAAAUAUGUAAGAAGCCCUUGUUGCUUAGUUGAACGUGGGCAUUAGAAUGGAGCGUUACUAGUGGGCCAUUUUUGGUAAGCAGAACUGGCGAUGCGGGAUGAACCGAACGCGAGGUUAAGGUGCCGGAAUGCACGCUCAUCAGACACCACAAAAGGUGUUAGUUCAUCUAGACAGCCCGACGGUGGCCAUGGAAGUCGGAAUCCGCUAAGGAGUGUGUAACAACUCACGGGCCGAAUGAACUAGCCCUGAAAA
rnacentral:rRNA from 1 species